UCUGGUGCCGAUGCGCUUAGGGGAAACACCCGUACCCAUCCCGAACACGAUGGUUAAGACUUAAGCGGCCGAUGGUACUAUGCUGGAGACGGCAUGGGAGAGCAGGUGGGUGCCAGAU
rfam:Lachnoclostridium sp. YL32, complete genome.